CUGGCUAGGAAGAGUAGAUGUAUUUAGGGUGAUUUCAGACUGGUUGAUAAGGAUUGGGCUGGAAACUCCCCAGUGGGUCCUUAUUUCCAUUAUGUCUCCCAUGUGACCGGAUCUGCUCAGAAGUUUUUAGGAUGCUCCAGAUGAUGGUGUUUCAUGAAUCAGCACCAGGAGAAAGAGCCCAUCCUUGUCUGCUCUGCAGGCCACAAAGACCAGCAGGAUAUGAAACAGCACUUCCACUAUCUCUCCUCCAAGCCACUACAUCAGAAAUAUUAAUGAAGGAAAAAUCUUCAAAUGGGGAUUCAUGUACUGCAGGGAUGAGUGAAGAGUUGCAUUUUUGGAGCAUGUCAGGUGCUGCAGUUGAAUCUGAGGAUGGACUAAACCAAUGAGGAGAGAUGACCAUGUGCAUUCUCAGCCUGAGACAGCAGUGUGGUCUGGCAGCCAGGAGUGUAAAGUGCAUUUUUGGGUGCAUCAAAUACAGCAUGGUCAGCAGGUCAGAAGAGGAAUGAAUGAGAAGCUGUUUAGCUGCUGAGCAUACUGCAGGUCCCACUCCCUUGUGAAGAUGCUGAAUUUCUAUCACCUUCCCUAAUCAAGUGGUGGCAGGAGGUCCAGGAGGAGCAGGCUGAUGCAAACUACUGCAAAAGAAGAGAGGUUUCCAGUGGGACAACUUUUGUGACUGAGCAAAGAGAGGCAUCAUACUGCUGACAGACAUCAGCUGCAUUUAACUGAUGACAAGAUAAAGGUAGGAGCAGAGCACAAGUGGGUCAAGCAUAGAAGCUUAUAAAGGUCGCAUUGGAACCCAGGAUGUUGAAAAAAAUUGGAAGGUAAAUUUUGAAAUGGACAGUUUCAAAGUUUCCAAGUGUGCUCUUAGAGCUAUUGGAACCAACAUGUGACAGCCAGAGGAAAAAGUGGAGUGGACAAUGGACUUGGAGAUGUCAAGGCAGCCAUAUACAGUGAGGAGGAGCAUUACCUGGGAGUGGACUUCGAAAUGAUAGCCUGUCUUUUUGUUCAACUCUGUUGGAGUCCACUUGAUGAUGGGUAUUGCAAGAUAAUAUUAAUACCAUGCCAUCAAAAUUUGUCAAUCCAAAGAGAGCAGGGGACAGGGCAUUCCUUCAUUCCUCUUGACAUGUUUGUAUUUGCCAUUGCCCCAUAGGAGAUGAGGAACUGCAGACUGAUGGAAGGGCUGACCUGCUUUUGGUUUGUCAAUCUCAAGAAGGUGCUGCGCAUCAGCUGUGGCAACAGACCACUUCCAUCACAGGCUUCCACUAAGGGGAAAACUGGAACUUCAGAAGAACAACUCAAGGAUGAGAGAAAACAUGUUUUCACAAAACGGAGCACAGCAAAAAAAUCAAGACUUGGAAAAACCUGUUGGUCAUCAUUAGGUUUUCAGCUCAUCUAGUGCAAAGCUCUGGUAUUUGGUAGAUUGUGCUGUGAAACUGUGUGCUCAGGUUGGAUAUUAGGAAAAAUUUAUUCUCCAAAAGAGUGGUAAU